AGUCACUGACAUUAGAUACCCCUGUAGUCCCAGCCGUAAACUAUGCGCGUUAGGUGUACUGGUGACCACGAGUCACCGGGGUGCCGAAGGGAAACCGUGAAACGUGCCGCCUGGGAAGUACGGUCGCAAGGCUGAAACUUAAAGGAAUUGGCGGGGGAGCACCGCAACGGGAGGAGCGUGCGGUUUAAUUGGAUUCAACACCGUAAAACUCACCAGGGAAGACUGUUACAUGAAAGCCGAGAUGAAGACUCUGCUAGAUUUUCAG
rnacentral:rRNA from 1 species